UCUCGUUUUACCUGGAAUCUACUGGAAUGGUGUUCAACUUCCAGAGUUUACCGAGAGGACGUCGCAGUCGAGCUACGUUGAGGUUCCAAAAGGAGGUCGCCGAAUUUCUCAGCAACAGCAAUAAAACUGCAGUAAGAAUGUGUGCGCGUUCCUCGCGAACUUUCGCGACAAGUUGCACGCGAGUUUUACAUGGGGGUUGCGUUUAAUGGGGCCGUUACUCGGACAUGGUGGUGGCUCGCUGGAAACGAGACUGCUUCGAAAACAUUUUCCUUCGACGUGACCCGAGACUCGGAGACACCGAGCGAAGAGGAGAAAUACUGAACGAAAGAGGGCAGGAGAGAAACGUCUUUGUUGGAAGACUCGCAUCAGCGGAGAAAAGAAUACCAAGAACGAUGGAAAUACGACGGAAAAGGUUCAACGGAUCUCUCAAGGCCCUUCGCGCAUUUUUCAUGCCCUUAUUGCGCUUAGGGGAUCUCCUUGCGCGUACUACGGGACACCGUCGAACCAAACGAAUCGAACGUGAUUUUUAUAUUAAAAAGAAGGAAAUAAGAUUGCCAGCGAUAUUUAUACUCAUUGCUUCCACGUAUGCAGAGGAUAGAUAAGAUAAUGGAAACGAGAAGAAAUUUUUAACAUAUUCAUCCCCAAAGUAAAUAUAGUCAUAUAUGAAAUCGUAUAAUAAUACUUAUGGGUGUUUAAAAAUAUUACAAAUUAUUUGUUUCAUAUAUAGGGAAUUGUAUAAGUAUUCCCAUCCCUUCUAUAGAAUUUUGAGAUUGCAUAAACGUUUACAAAAUUAGUAUAUUCAAAUUUAUUUUUAGAGUGUAGUAUUUCUUCCCCAUACCAAGAUAAGAUUCAUAGUU